rnacentral:tRNA from 1 species
CCCUAGAUGUCUAGUUGUUAGGACUCAGUGCUUUCACUGCUAUGGGCUGGGUUCAAUCCCUGUCUGGGGA